rnacentral:rRNA from 1 species
UUCGAUUCUGGCUCAGGAUGAACGCUAGCUACAGGCUUAACACAUGCAAGUCGAGGGUAGCAGGGUAGCAAUACCGCUGACGACCGGCGCACGGGUGAGUAACACGUAUCCAACCUUCCCAUAACUCAGGGAUAGCCUUUCGAAAGAAAGAUUAAUACCUGAUAGUACUUUUUCAAGGCAUCUUGAGAAAGUUAAAGAUUUAUUGGUUAUGGAUGGGGAUGCGUUCCAUUAGAUAGUUGGUGAGGUAACGGCUCACCAAGUCUUCGAUGGAUAGGGGUUCUGAGAGGAAGGUCCCCACAUUGGUACUGAGACACGGACCAAACUCCUACGGGAGGCAGCAGUGAGGAAUAUUGGUCAAUGGGCGAGAGCCUGAACCAGCCAAGUAGCGUGAAGGAUGAAGGUCCUAUGGAUUGUAAACUUCUUUUAUAGUAGAAUAAAGUGAUCCACGUGUGGAUUUUUGUAUGUAUACUAUGAAUAAGGAUCGGCUAACUCCGUGCCAGCCGCAGC